rnacentral:rRNA from 1 species
UUCCGUAGGGUGAACCUGCGGAAGGAUCAUUACCGAGUGAGGGCCCUCUGGGUCCAACCUCCCACCCGUGUUUAUUUUACCUUGUUGCUUCGGCGGGCCCGCCUUAACUGGCCGCCGGGGGGCUUACGCCCCCGGGCCCGCGCCCGCCGAAGACACCCUCGAACUCUGUCUGAAGAUUGUAGUCUGAGUGAAAAUAUAAAUUAUUUAAAACUUUCAACAACGGAUCUCUUGGUUCCGGCAUCGAUGAAGAACGCAGCGAAAUGCGAUACGUAAUGUGAAUUGCAAAUUCAGUGAAUCAUCGAGUCUUUGAACGCACAUUGCGCCCCCUGGUAUUCCGGGGGGCAUGCCUGUCCGAGCGUCAUUUCUGCCCUCAAGCACGGCUUGUGUGUUGGGCCCCGUCCUCCGAUCCCGGGGGACGGGCCCGAAAGGCAGCGGCGGCACCGCGUCCGGUCCUCGAGCGUAUGGGGCUUUGUCACCCGCUCUGUAGGCCCGGCCGGCGCUUGCCGAUCAACCCAAAUUUUUAUCCAGGUUGACCUCGGAUCAGGUAGGGAUACCCGCUGAACUUAAGCAUAUCAAUAAGCGGAGGAAAU